rnacentral:rRNA from 1 species
GAUGAACGCUGGCGGCGUGCCUAAUACAUGCAAGUCGAGCGAACAGACGAGGAGUUUGCUCCUCUGACGUGAGCGGCGGACGGGUGAGUAACACAUGGAUACCCUCCCUAUAAGACGGGGAUAACUUCGGGAAACCGGAGCUAAUACCGGAUAAUAUAUUGAACCGCAUGGAUCAAUAGUGAAAGACGGUUUUGCCGUUACUUAUAGAUGGUGCCGCGCCUCAUUAGGUAGUUGGGAGGGUAACGGCUUACCAAGGCAACGGUGCGUAGCCGACCUGAGAGGGUGAUCGGCCACACGGGACCUGGGACACGGUCCAGACUCCUACGGGGGGCGGCAGUGGGGAAUCUUGCGCAAUGGGCGAAGGCUUACCGGAGCAACGCCGCGUGGGUGAUGAGGGUCUUGGGAUCGUAAGACUCUUUUAUUAGGGAAGAACAAAUGUGUAAGUAACUAUGCACGUCUUGACGGUACCUAAUCAGAAAGCCACGGCUAACUACGUG